GAACCGAGCUACAAUGGUUAUGUGAAGAGCCAAAUUUUGGAAUUAUUAGAUGAAUGCAAAGACUUCAAGAAAGGAACGGCGAUGGUCUUUCGAAAAAUCUUUACAGAGGAGGAGAUAAGGGGGAGAAGCCUCUCAGGGGGCAUUUCAAAGGACGGAACGAGGCGACCAGCACUAGAAGACCAGAAGAAGAUUAUCUUUUUGGAAGAAGUCAUCAAGGAAAAAUGGCCCUCCACCACAAAGGACACCAUUAAGUUUGUGCUAAGAGACCUGCUUAAGCCAUCCAGAAGUAAAAAAAGUUGAAAUGCUUUCCUUGGAAAUACAGAAAUUAAAUUACACAGUGAAGUUCUCAAUUUUAUUAUCAUUGUGAUGAAAGUAGUCAUAAUCAAUAUGAAAAUAAAGAAAUGUAUUCCAAAAUUUAACAUAUUCUUGAAUUAUUUGAAGUUAAGAAUACAGACAGAAGAAGAAAUUGCCGUUUAAAAAAAAUUGAAACACACGCACAAAAAUGGAUCAACAUCAAUCAAUAUUUUUUUAAGUGAGACUUUAUAUUCAUAUACAGUUUUCAUAUAACAAUGCCCAUACAAUUACUAAACAUCCUUGUCUUAUUUGUUCGCCUUUUCAUUUGAUAUCCCCCGCCAUAGGCGGAGGGAUAUUGUUUUCGCCUUGUCCAUCUCUCCUUCCGUCCGUCUUUCCGUCCGUCUUUCCGUCUGUCCAUCCAGAGCCAUAUCUUGCAAGUGCUUUGGCGGAUUUCAUUGAAACUUGGUAUGGGUAUAUAUAUAUAUAUAUAUAUAUAUAUAUAUAUAUAUAUAUAUAUAUAUAUAUAUAUAUAUAUAUAUAUAUAUGGAUAACAGGAUGAUGCAAGCCAAAUGGUAUUGCACACAUUCUGUUAAUAACGAAGUUAUGGCCCUUUUUAUCUUGAAAAAAUAUGCUUUUUUUUGUGUCAAAUAUAACACUUUUGUGUCCAGAAGCAUAUUUGCAGGGGAUAUCAAUUCAACGAAUUUGCUUGUUCUUUAAUAACUGUAUUGUUACUUGUAAAGUACAAAAACACAGGGUGAAAGAUAUUAUUAUUUUUGUUAUAUUUAUCCAUAACACAAACUGUUAAACAUGUAAUAGAAUAUAUGUUGUGUGUGAUGUGUGUGUGUGCAUGUAAUUGUGUGUGUUUAUGAGCAUAAUUAUGUGAGAAAGGAAGUAUACUUGUUAUAAGAGAAAUGUAAAAUUCUACUUCUAUGUUUUAUAUUGUGCCUUUUAUAUGUUUUUCUUUUCUCACCUGUAUAUGCGUGCAUGUUUAUGGAUGUGUUUUUGAAUGUGUGCAUGAAUGCCUGUGGUUAAGAGAAUUGGUACUUUAUGAAAAUGUUAAACCACUCAUUUUUGAAUAUGUACUGUGACUGCAUGUGUGUGGUUAAUGAUUGAUGCCAGAUCUUGUUCUUGUUUAACUUCUAUAAUGAAACCUUUAGUUACAUUCACAUUUGUUUUUCAAAAUCGAUAAAAUACCUUUAAUCUAUAA